CUUCGAGGAGGUGGCUGUGUAUUUCACCGAGGGGCAGGAGGCUCUGAUGGACCCCGGUCAGAGAGCCCUCUACAGGGAUGACAUGCAGGAGAAUUAUAAGAAUGUGACUUCACUGGGAUGUCCAAUUCCCAAAUCU